rnacentral:lncRNA from 1 species
AGGCCUUCUUGCGCAGGUGAUUGAUCAGGCAGGGGAUGUCGACGCUUUCUCCUACCACCUCCAGCUGAUCCUUGGCGUCGCCGAUGAUCGCCACCGAGUUCACUCCUGCAUAUAAAAUUAACACGAGCGUGUAUUCAUGGACGAUAUGUGGAAAGAUCCCGGCCCGCAUACGACGUUCAAGAUAAUAGCUAGCUAGUGUGAUGGAUGUGUACCGACAGAUUUGGAUGCCAGCUGCAUGGCUUUAGACCGGUUCUUGGCGUUCGGUUCGCCCAGCCUGAUCACAGUCUUUUGCUGCAACAACGACGACGACGAGCCCAAGUUAGCUAGCAUCAGUGAGAAUUCUAAAAAUUGUCUGACUUAUUCUCAACAAGAGAUGGAGCAUCAGCGAGAAUUCUAAAAUUUGUCUGACUUCUCCACAAGAGAGAACUGUAUUUUUUUUUUUGAACAUAUAUGGGAGCACACAUGCAUGCAUGGCUAAUCAAGAGUUUCUAGAAUUUUUUCAGAUUUCACGUUACAUCGAAUCUAACGGUACAUACAUGUAACAUUAAAUAUGGAUUGAAAAAAUAACUAAUUAUACAGUUUUACUGUAAAUUGCUAGAUGAAUCUUUUGAGCCUAGAUAAUCCAUGAUCGAACAAUAUUUAUCAAAUACAAACGAAAAUAUUACGGUAUUCAUUUUGUAAAAAAUUUUAUAACUAUAAACAAGCUAGGCCUUGGCUACUACCUUGGACAUCGCGUCGCCCGCAGCCGAUCGAUUUACCUGCCGCAAAUGACGAUGAGCAAAGAAGAAACUGUGAUGGUGGCUAUAUACGCAGCUACGCUGAUGGGCUGCGGGUGCUACUACCUACCAAGAGCAGCCUAUAUAGGCCAGUCUCAAUGUAUGUUUUAUGAGAGUAUCAUACACAUUAAAUAGGAUGUCAUAUAAGUAAAAUUGCUGACUUGGCAGGGUCAUUAAAUGAAGGAGUUUCAUCAGAUGAGAGAGGAGUUUCAUCUCUAUGAAACUCAUGUGACUCGCUUACCUAGUUUAUAGUCUAUGUAACUGUGCCAUGAAACUAUGUAUUGAGACUGGCCUUAUACACGCACGCGCGCAAGUGGGCAAAGGCCUUGUUUAGCUCAGCCUAAAAAUCAAAAAGUUUUCAAGAUUACAUGUCACAUCGAAUCUUGUGCUACAUGCAUGAAGCACUAGAUAUAGAUGAAAAUAAAAACUAAUUACACAGUUUGUCUGUAAAUCGUAAGACGAAUCUUUUGAUCCUAGUUAAUCUAUGAUUGGACAAUAUUUGCCACAAAUAAAUAAAAAUACUACAGUAGCGAAAUCUAAAAAAGAUUUCGCAUCUAAACAAAGCAAAAAUGUGGUGCCGAAGCCAGGAGCCAGGAAGAGACGCCGCCGCCUGCCGAACUGCAAAUAAAUUAAAAAGGCGGCUAAAUUAAAAAGUGAACCGUAGUAGAAAAGGGACCAUUUGUAACUUGUAAGUACGUGUUUGGGGUACCGAACUCUUUCGGUCAGAACGGCCGGACGGAAGCUUGUAGGACCUGCACCGGGGCCAGCCCACCACGUGAACGAGCGAGUGGCGGGAUUUAUGAUUAUGACUACAAGAACAGCGUCCAGGUAGGUAUGUACGUGUAUUUUCGUAUAUUGUAGUACGUAUGUUUUCUUUUCUUCUUUUUCUCUUGUUCUUUUUUCUUUGUAUGCUUCACUUUUUCUUUUCUUUUCUUUUUUUGUACUUCAUUUUUUAUUUUAUUUUAUGUUUUAUAUAUUUAUUAUUAUUUUUUUCUUUUCUUUAUAUAUUUUGUAUGUUUGUUUUAUUUUGUUUCAUUUCCUUUUUCAUAUUAUUUUUUAUUUCCUUUUUUCAUUUAUCAUUAUUUUCAUUUCAUGUUAUUUUUUUUAUUUUGUGUGUUCCUAACACCUAAUUUCUUUUCUUCUCUCGAUGUAGAUGUAGGCUGGUACUUAGCAGCCAUGUUCCCGGAACGUCGGGGACGUGGUACGGGAACGUGGUACGCGGUACGGCGUCUUCAAAACCUAUGGAACGAGGUGGGUAUACAGCUGCUGCUCGUACCAAACCCAAAAGGAACGCGUACCAAAUUGAAAUAAAACGAUGACAUGGAACAUGUUCCUGAAAAUAAGGAACAUGUUCCCGGAACGUCUACCAAAUCAAAAGGGGACGCUACGACAUGAAAUAAUUUUGUCUCUGGUGGUCGUUCCAUGCAGUUUUGCACGUUAUGAAAUGUGCAGAGUUCGAAGUCUUGUUGGGAACCUUUCAUUUUUGUGACUUUUUUUUUAUUGGGCCGUCGGCCGUUUAAAACUUUAACCCUAAAGCCCAUUCCGAUUCGGGGCAGCUGAAGUGCUGAACUUUUGCCGACCGCCGCCGCCACGGCCGCACGGGCACCGCGUGCACGACGCCACGGCCAGUGGCCACAGCACACACUGCCACAGCCGCACGGCGGCACGGGCAAGCAGCAAGCUCUAUGCAUCCGCGCGCACGGCCAGUGCCACUGCCGCGCCGGCGGCCUGCCGGCGGCCACCUACUCGAUGCGGCGGCGUACAAAUGGCGGACUCGGCGUCUCGGCCUCGACGAUUCUUGCGGCGCUGCGGAGCAGGAGCAGCACGUUAGCACUUCGCCGUUCGCCGGCUCCGCGUCCUGGAGCGGGGCUCCGGCACUCCGGCACUCCGGCCUCCGGCGACCGCAAGCGAAGCGAUGCGACCUGAGGUGCGUUUUCUUCACUGCCUAAGCAUCGUUUGUCCCCGAAUCACUAUGGCUGCGAGUCACGUUCCAUAGGCGUUUGAUACUCGACGUUCCUCUUAUUGCUUCUGGAUUCAAUUCGCGUUCCAUCGCGAUUGGGAACGGCGUCCCGCAAUGUCCCCGUCCCGGGUUUCGGGACGAAGUUCCCGGAACAGGAACGUGCCCACGUUCCCGUACCCCGGCUGCUAAGGGCUGGUAGUUAUUUUUUCUGUUUAUUUUCUUCUUAAUUAACUCCUAGUUGGUUGUUAUGUUAGUUUUUUUAUUUCUUAUAUUUUUCCUUUUAUUUUUCAUUACUUAUUUUCUAUUCUAUAUUAUUUUACUCUACUCAAUUAUUUUAUUUUUCAUGUUCAUAUUUAUUUCUUAUUUUUCUAUAUAUUUAUUAUUUGUUAUUCAUGUUUUAUGUGCUUUUUUCUUAGCUAUUCUUCUCAUUUUUAUAUUAUUUUUUUUACUAUAAGUUAUUUUUAGUUUAGUUUUUUUAUUUUCUAUAAUCUAUGAAAUGCUAUGUUCAUAUAAUAUAGAUGUGAUAUUCUAUGAUAUUUUUUAUGAUGUUCACAUGAUAUAUAAUGUCAGGUUCUGUGAUAUUUUUUGUGAUGUUCAUGUAGUAUAUAUAUAUGUAAUAUUCUAUGAUAUUUUUUUGUGAUAUUCACGUGUUAUAAAUGAGAUGUUCUAGGAUAUUUUUAUGUCCACGGAGUAUAGAUGUGAUAUUCUAUAUGUAUUUUGUGAUGUUUGCGUACUAUAUAUGUGAUGUUCACAUAGUAUGUAAUGAUAUUCUAUGAUGUACUCUGUGAUGUUCAUAUAGUAUACAUGUGUUGUUCUAUUAUGUAUUAUGUGAUGUUCUAUUGUCUAUUUAGUGGUAUUUACUUAGUAUACAUGUGAUAUUUUGUAAUAUAUUUUAGGAUGUCUGAAAAGUACCUAUGUGAUAUGCUUUUAAAAUUUUUCUUAUGCUUUGCUCUAGAUUUCAAUAUUUUUUAAUUAUGUUGUGUAUUUGUUUAUUUACUUACUUAUCUUUAUGUAUACUGUAAUAUCAAUUUUAUUAAUCUAAACUUAGAACAUUCUACUUACCAAGAUGGAACAUUGUUUUUUGAAACUAGAACAUCGUCUCUGCUUAAUAAAAUAAAAUGUUCUAUUUUAAUAAGACAAAUAUUCAUUAUAUUUUUUUUAAAUAUAUUUAUGUGAGAUCUUGUUUUAAAGAAUUUAUUGCAAAAAAUUUAAUGGUAUUGUCAGAAUUUAAUUUGGAUAUUUAAUUUUAGAGGUAUGACUUUUUUUUAAGUUGGAUAAAACUUAUGUGUCAACUGUAGACGUGAUGGGGCCCUUAUCUGAGCAAAUUAGUUCUCGGGACCAUAUCGACCCGCACGCGCUGCCUGCUGGGAGGUUGGGAAGGAAAAGAUUCGGCUUUGAUGCGAAAAGAUUUUAGAUUUUGUUACUGUAGCAUUUUUGUUUGUUUGUGGUAAAUAUUGUCCAAUCAUGGUCUAACUAGGGUCAAAAGAUUCGUCUCGCGAUUUACAGUUAAACUGUUCAAUUAAUUUUUAUUUCCGUCUAUAUUUAAUGCUUCAUGCAUAUGCCGAAAUAUUAGAUGUUACAGGGAAUUUUGAAAACUUUUUAGUUUUUAGAGUGAACUAAACAAGGCCGAAAUAUUCUUGAGGUCUUGUUUAGUUCCGAAAAGAUUUUAGAUUUCGGUACUGUAGCAUUUUGUUUGUUUGUGACAAAUAUUAUCCAAUUAUAGACUAACUAGGAUCAAAAGAUUCGUCUCGCGAUUUCCAGCUAAACUGUGUAAUUAGUUUUUGCUUUCGUCUAUAUUUAAUACUUUAUGUAUGUGCCGCAAGAUUCGAUGUGACGGAAAUCUUGAAAACUUUUUGCUUUUUGGGAUGAACUAAACAAGGCCUGAGUCUGGGCGGGAUCUGGUUUGGUCUGGCCGCCCGGACCGUAAGAGGUCACUUCGAGGUAGCUGGUACCUUCAGUUUCCUAUGUAGAAAAUGGAUAUCUCGUUUCUUGGAAAAUCAAAUCUUUUCAAAUUUAACUACAUUUAUAAGAAAUAAUAUUAAUAUUUGUGUAUCUAAAUAAGUUAAUUAUGAAAAUAUAUUUAUAUAUAUCAUGGUUAUUCCAAUAAUACUUACCCUAUUAUAAUAUAUUUGGUCAAACUUAUAAUUAGAAGCGAGGGUUUCAUUCUUUUUUAGCAUCAAGAUCAGGAAAAAGCUUCUAGUAAUUAUAAAUCCAAAAACACUUUUUUCAUAUAACAAAACUUAGAGAAAUUUUACUAUACAUGGAAAUAAUGAGAACCCUCCAUUAGACUAGAUCGGAUGGUUAAAAAAUAAGAACCAUUUAAAAGAAACUGCGUUGAGUUAAUCCUCCAAUAUAGUAUGGAUCCCUUCCCUUCCACUCUCUCUAGACUAUCAGACUCCCUCGACGCUCUCCACCUGUACACAAGCUAUUCUCACGUCUCGCUGCAGACACGCUACAGACACGCUGCAUCGUCACAAGCCGUUCCUACAGGCACGCUGCAUCAUUGCCCUGCAUCUCGCUGCAGGCACACUGCAUCACAACUAGGGAUGAAAACGGUAAGGAUAUUUUCCGACUGUAUUCGAGACCGAAUUCAUUUAGAGGGGUUUAAAUCUGUCCGUAUUCGAAUCCGAAUAUUCAACAUCUGAUACCGUAUCCGUAUCCGAAUAUUUAAAUCGUAUAUUUAUAAUGUCGACAUCCAAUCAUAUCUUAUCCUGGUUGAUAUUAUCCGUAUUCGAAUCCUAAUCCGAUCAGAAAUAUAAAAACAAAUAUGAUAUCAGUGAUAUCCGUCCGUAUCCGAUCCGUUUUCAUCCCUAAUCACAACCCACUCGUCAUGGCGGACGCGCAGCUUUGUGUCACGACCAUCGUCAUCUCCCGAGCGUCAUGGUCAUCGGCGUCACUAUGUCGCCGACCAUCGAGGAGCUCCAGCAAGCGACCGAAGAGGCAAUCGCUGCUGCUGAAGCAGCCACCGCCAGGCCCGGGCGGGCACUGCUCGUGCGGAGCCAGGAAGCCAAUCGCCGGCUCGCUGAGUAUGAGAACACGGAGCAAGCACAGCUCCACGCUUAGGCCGUCACAAUGAACAACAUCAAGCUGAUGACCCCCUCGUCCUCGAGCAGACGUCCACCUUCUACAGUCGUUGGCAUUCGGUCUUCCUUAAUACCUUGUCCAAAUAUGCCCUUGAUUGUCUCAUGCUCACAGAUGAUGAUUUCUCCAUGGAUCCUCACUAGCAUCGCAUGGAUUGUACUGUCAAAUCAUAGCUUUUUUGGCAUAGUGGUGCCCGACCUCAUUGAAGUUGUCUCUACUGCCUCCUUGACGUCGUGCACCAUUUGGCUUGGGCUUGAAGAGCAGUUCAUCGGCAACAAAGAAACUCGUGUCAUCAUUCUUGAUGCCGAAAUUUAGACCCUUGUUCAAGGGGGUCUCUCUGUCACUGACUAUUGCAAUAAGAUGAAGCAUAUGGUAGAUGCUUUGGGGACUUUGGGUGAGCCGGUCUUGGACCGCACCUUGGGCGUCAACAUUCUUCAUGGCCUUAACGAGCAAUACUCUCAUAUGGCAGCCAUGAUCAGCACGUCUGUUUCUCAUAUUCUGAUGUUUGUGCUGCUGAUUUACUCAUCGAAGAAGUGACUCUCGCCAGCAAGACUACCACCUGAUAGCGUUUGUGGCAUCCUCUUCGUCACGCUCUUCUACACCACAUCCUCCCUCCGGCCAUGGCACGGCUGGAUAGGGCGGACAGGGCAGCCCCGCUUAUGGUGGACAUGGAGGCUCCACACCUUGGGGAGGCUCCAACCAGCAGCACCGGCGUUGGCGCUCCAACAGGUUUGGUGGUGGCUGUGGCGGUCAGGCUGGCACGCGCCCAGUCAGUGUCCUUGGCCGGCACACUGGAACCUGCUCACGGGAACUUUUGUUGUCUGGCCUAGCCAACCUAGCGCCCGCCCACAUCCCCCGUUUGCUCCACUGCCGCCACGUCCUCAAUAUUUCAUCGCUAACACCCAGCAGCGGCUGUACAUCGGUACCCCAUACGCUGUAGGCAGGCAGCAGUAGUAUGCCACCGACCUACAGUACGUCGACACCUCCACCCCAAUAGCAGUCCUGGACAUGGGACCCUCAAGUCUUGGCGAACAACUUCAACACCAUGACACUCACUCCUCUGCCGACCGAUAACUGGUGUAUGGACUUAGGCCUUGUUUAGUUCGCAAAAAAUUUCAAGAUUCUCCGUCACAUCGAAUCUUUGGUCGCAUGCAUGGAGCAUUAAAUAAAGAUAAAAAUAAAAACUAAUUACACAGUUUAUCUGAAAUUUAUGAGAUGAAUCUUUUGAGCCUAGUUACUCCGUGAUUAGAUAAUGUUUGUCAAAUAAAAACGAAAGUGCUACAGUAACCAAAAAACUAAAAAUUUGCCAACUAAACAAGGCCUUAGGUGCUUCCUCUCACAUGGUCUCAAACUCUGACUCCCUAUCCCAUACUCAUCCUCCCAGCCUUUUUACACCAUCCAAUAUCAUCGUCGGUAAUGGCUCUUCUCUACCCGUUACUGCGAUUGGCUCCACUUCUUUUCCUAUACCCGGCCGCUCAUUAUAUCUACAUAAUAUUCUUAUUUCUCCACAUAUUAUUAAGAAUCUUAUAUCUAUCCGUCGUUUCACUAUUGAUAAUCAUUGGUCUGUCGAAUUUGAUCUUUUUGGCCUUUCUGUGAUGGAUCUGGCAAUGGGGAACGUGAUUGUUAGGUGGAAUAGUUCUAGGGAGCUAUACUCUUUUUGACCCUCAACCCACCAUCACUCCUUCACUGCUGUCACAUCUACACCUGUUCUUUAGCAUCAUCGGCUUGGUCAUCUUGGACAUGAGUAUUUUUGGGUGUGUCCAAGACUUCACGUGUGGUAUCUUGCUACUAGUUCGUCUCAUAAUUUUUAGGCGAGCUAUGUAAUUUUUUAGUUAGUCUACAUUUAAUACUGUUAAAUAUGUGCCGACAUAUUGAUGUGACACAUAAAAAUUUUCUUUUCGCAAACUAAACAAAACCCAUGAUAAAUUAUUUUGCAUUAACUUCUAGAAGGUUGUUAGGAUCUUGACCCUCAUGUUGUCUUUUCGUGAGGCAGCUCGGGGCAACGCAUCAUAGUGCCUCUCCAUUGGCUAGCCCCUUGGCUGACGCCGCUCUCCGUCGAGUGGCGGCGCCGAACAUGGUGGUCCUCAGAAAAGCAGCCAUCUGAAGCCCCUUUCAUGCCUCCUCUCCCUCUGCAGCCCUUCAACACGUCGCUGCAACCACUCGCUAGAUCUGGGCACCUGCCGCUGUCGCGUCCAACUCGAGGCCCCCGCCACCAGAUCUGGACUUGCGGAGGCCUAUGCGCGCUACUGCUCGGAGGGGCUGUGGCCACCCUGCACACCUUUGGUAGAGCCCCACGCCUUAGUUGCUUGACGCGCCGUCAGGUAGGAGUCAUGUCGUGGCCGCCACCGCACGCUACUGCCUCAUAGAGAGACGGGCGCUAGGGAGGCUGCGCUGCCACCGAAUAACGGAGGCGGUCAACUAGCCCGCCCGUCUCGGAGGCCCAAAGGAAAACACCACCUGAAAGUUUUUGUGUUCUAGUGCAUAGAAGCAAAUAGCUUUAAUCUUUGUAUGGAGAUAACGACAGCUAGUGCAGGAGAUUUAGAACAAUUGCUUUCAUUUACUAACCUGGUCGAAUUUAGAACAUUUUAACUUAACAAAAUAUAUAUAUAUAUAUAUAUAUAUAUAUAUAUAUAUAUAUAUAUAUAUAUAUAUAUAUAGUAGUGAUCUAAAUUUCAUGACCACUCACGAUUGGAAGAAGCCAAAGCAAACCAGAACCACGUUUGUGCACACAUGGACAAGCCGAUUCAUGGAGAGAAGCUGACCGGUCGAUAUGGCAAAAAAGUUCAAAACCAAAAUCACAAGCAUAUUAAUUAAGCAUACAUAUGGAGGGCAAAAUCCAUCUUAGACUUUGUUUGGAUGUAGUCAGAUUCGCAUCAAUCCACAUGUGUUGGGGUGGAUUAGAGUGAAAUUUAAACUAAAUUCCACCACAAUCCACUCCAACAUAUGUGGAUUGAGAUGAAUCCAAGAACAUCCAAACAAAGCCUUAAGCAUCUUCAUAGGAUGUGACAGGCUCCUGGCUGAUCCUCGCAGAAAACCGUCGGCAGCGGGCGGCCGUAAUAACCGGUGCACUGCGGCGGGCAAGUGCAGAGCUGCUUGAGCUGUUCUUCCGCCUUCUUCUUAUCUUCCUCCGCCUUCUUCUUGGCAGCUUCUUCUUCCUUCUUCUUCUUCUUCUCCUCCUCCUCCUCCUUCUUCUUGUCCUUCACUUCCUCCACCACAACGAUGUUGGCGCGGCAGACCUUCUUGCGCAAGCCGUUGAUCAGGCAGGGGAUGUCGACGCUUUCUCCUACCACCUCCAGCCGGUCCUUGGCGUCGCCGGCGAUCGCCACCGAGUUCACACUACAGGAUCCAGGGUCUUGGCCAAGGGCUCAAAAUGCUCGGCAAAGAGGGCAAUACCGUCGGCAAAAACUUUGCCAAACGUAGCCUUUGACAAAUGCAGUUAUCGGCAAAGACGUCUUUGCCGCAACCUUAGCUCUUUGCACAAUUAACUAUUUAAAUUGCAAAAAAAUUUACGAAAAUGUAACAUUGGGUACCACAUGUAGUAUGUAUAUAGAACAAAAAUUUUAGAGAGCAUAGAAUAAAAAAGAAAAUUCUUUGCCAAGAGUCUUGGAAGGGCUCUCAGCAAAGGUGGCUUCACAUCGUGAGCAUAUUUUUCAACGGUGUUGUGGCUUUGUCGAGAGCUCUCCUUCACCGGCCCUCGGUAAAGAUCUUUACGCCGAGAGCUUCGUUUUACCGAGGGUCUCGGUGUUCAACUCUCGGCAAAGGUGAUGUACACCAAGGUUUUUUUCUUUGCCAAGAACUCUGUUCUCAAGCUCUCGGCAAAGACAUCUUUACCGAGAGCCCGUACCUUAGCUCUCGGCAAAGAGCCGAGCCUUCAGCAAAGGUGGCUUCGAGUAGUGUCACUCCUGCAUAUACAACACCAAGCGUGUAUUCAUGGAUAUAUGGAAGUAUCCCGCAUACGACGUUCAAGAUAAUAGCUAGCUAGUGUGAUGGAUGUGUACCGACAGAUUUGGAUGCCAGCUGCAUGGCUUUAGACCGGUUCUUGGCGUUCGGUUCGCCCAGCCUGAUCACAGUCUUUUGCUGCAACAACGAGCCCAAGCUAGCAUCAGUGAGAAUUCUAAAAGUUGCCAGACUUCGACCUCAACAAGAGAGCAUCAGUGAGAGUUCUAAAAAUUGUCUGACUUCUCAAAAAGAAAGCAUCGACCUCAACAAGAGAGCAUCAGUGAGAGUUGUAAAUAUUGUCUGACUUCUAAAAAAGAGAGCAUCAGUGAGAAUAGUUCUAAAAAUUGUCUGACUUCUCGACAAAGAGAGAACGACUGUAUCUUUUGUUGAACAUAUAUGGGAGCACAUGCACGCAUGGCGAAUCAAAGUAAGAGCUAGCAAAACUGAAGGCCGGGCUAACCUUGGACAUCGACGCAGCCGAUCGAUUUACCUACCGCAAAUGACGAUGAACAAAGAGGAAACCGUGACGGUGGCUACGCAGCUACGGUGAUCGGCUAUACUAUGUUUUGCGCUGCCGGUGGAGUACCAAGAGCAGCCUAUUUAUUACACACGCGCGCGAGCGGGCAAAAUGAUGUGGUGCCGGAGCCAGGACCCACGAAGACGCCGCCGCCUGCCGAAUGGAAACUAAAAGGCGGCUAAAUUAAGGUCAUGUUUAGUCCGCGAGAAGAAAAGUUGUUAGGUAACACAUUUGUAACUAUAGUAAUUAGUGCUUAAUUAUAGACUAAUAAGGUUUAAAAAAUUCAUCUCGCAUAAUACAUACAAACUGUGUAAUUAGUUAUUUUUAGUCUAUAUUUAGGGGGUGUUUGGGAUUGCUCUCCUCCUUCGUUUUAGGUUUUUUAGCCAAACGGUUUCAGCUUCACGCACUCAGUUCAAGGAAAAAAGUAGAGUUGUGAGAGCACGCCUAAAGAGGUACUUCAUAAACUUCAGUUUUUUUAAAGCUACUUCAGGGCACUCACAAUGCAAGACUCUGUUACAGAGUCCAAGACAAUUAAUUACAUAUUAUUUAUGGUAUUUGCUGAUGUGGCAGCAUAUUUAUUGAAGAAAGAGGUAGAAAAAAUAAGACUCCAAGUCCACAUUGCUCGAGGUAAUAAAUAACUUUAGACUCUAUGAUAGAGUCUGCAUUGUGAGUGCCCUCACGGUAGAGUUUGUGAAACAGUUCCAAACACUUUCUUAUUAUGUCAUACAUGUGUCUACCUUUUCAAUAUGAUGGGACAAAAUUUUUUGAGUGGAAACUGAACCAUAGGAAUCGUUGUAAUAAGAACGUUCGUGGUAGCUGGUAACUUCAGUUUCUUCCUAGGUAGAAAAUGGAUAUAUUUUUCUUAAAAAAUCAGAUAUUUUUAAAUUUAACUAGAUUUAUAAGAAAUAAUAUUAACAUUUUUAUACCUAAAUAAAUUAAUUAUGAAAAUAUAUUUAUAUAUAUCAUGGUUAUUCUAAUAAUACUUACCAUACUAUAAUAUAUUUGGUCAAACUUAUGACUAGAAGUGAGAUUGUUUUUAGGGAAUAGGAGAGGUUUGCGCCCCUACUGAAAUUUAUUGAAAGAAAACGGUUUACAGACAGACAGAGAAACAAACUUUAGGAAACAAAGAAGAUGAAAGCUCCUUUUUAGACCGAAGGAGUAUAUAGCAUUAAGAUCAGAAAAAAGGUUCUAAUAAAUAUAUAUCCAAAAACACUAUUUUCAUACAACAAAACUUAGAGAAAUUUUACUAUGCUUGAAAAUCAUUAGAACCAUCCAUUAGACGUCAGAUGGUUAAAAAAUAAGAACAACCUAUUUAAAAGAAACUUAAGUUAUGGACCCGAAUUAAUAAAAAUUAGUGGGUUAGGAACUAAUUUCAAAUUAAAUUCAAAGGGUAUUUACGGUAAUUUCAUAGGUGAGUUUUUUCUUUGAGACUUUUGUAUAUAUGGCAUUAUAAAGUUGGUAAUUAGCUACAAACCAUUAAAAAGGUUGAGUUCUCACAAGUGCCACUGAUCUGAACUCUUUUGCUCUCUAUGCCACCUCCGUCAGAUGUAGCUCUAAAGGUGUCAAACUGCAAGUUUAAAGAGUCAAAAAUACCCUCAAGCCUGAAUAUGUAAUUAAUUUUUUUGAGCAUCUUAAUGACCUCAAAUGAAAAAACUCAAAACUACAAAGUUAUAGAUCUCGACAAUAUCAGUAAUAUUUGUACAAAAAUUAUAUUCAUUGAAUUCCAUACAAAAAAGAUAUGAUUUGAUAUGAUUAAUAUGUCUUAGAAAAAACAUAUUUUUAUACGAAAUCAAAUAAAAUUAUGUUUUAUAUAAAUAAUGUAGGCCUUGUUUAGUUUACCUCAAAAACCAAAAAGUUUUCAAGAUUCCCCGUCACAUCGAAUCUUUCGACAUAUGCAUGAAGCAUUAAAUAUAGGUGAAAAUAAAAACUAAUUGCACAGUUUAUCUGUAAAUCGCGAGACGAAUCUUUUGAUCCUAGUUAGUCCAUGAUUGGACAAUAUUUGCCACAAACAAACAAAAGUGUUAUAGUAGCGAAAUCCAAAAUCUUUUCCCAUCUAAACAAGGCCUAGAUCUCGAUGAGAUCUACAGCUUUUUAGUUUUGAGUUUUUUCAUUUAAGAUCAUUAAGAUACUCAAAAAAGUUAAUUGGAUAUUCAGAGGGGUAUUUUUGACUUUUCAUACGUGUAGUUUAACACCGUUAGAGUUAAAUCUGACGGAAGUAACGUAGAGAGCAAAAGAAUUUGGAGCAAUGGCAUCUGUGAAAACUCAACUUUUUUAAUGGCUUAUUAUAGAUAAUUACUAACUUUUGUAAUGAUAUAUACAUAUGUAAAAGCCUCUUUUUCUUUUGCUUGGGCAGGACCCGAGCCCGUGAAAUAUUCGGAGGCCGUGGCUGCCGUCUACGGACGAUCGAGGGGACGCGGGCGACGAAUCCAUGCCUAUCUCGAUCAAGCGCAGGCUGCUGCUGCCCCGGCGACCCCUAUGAACGUGUGGGCCUCCUGCGCACGGCUAUGAACCUAUGACAACUAAUGAUGGAGAAUUGGGGUGGGGGUUGUGCUCGGCUCCUGUGACUGUGAGGAUGAGUAGUAGCUGCCUUGCUGCCACUUCGACUGCAGCCCCAACUCUGACCGCUAGACGUUGUUAUGAUCUUUGACGGGAUCGCCAAGAUCGAUGUGGAGCGUGUCUGUAGGAUCAAGAGUCAAGAUGGCAACGGGGAAUUUCCCGUCGGGUAUUAACUUCCUAUCUCCGUCCCUGUGAUCUAAAAAUCUCUCCGUCACCGUCCCCGUCCCCGUGAAGGCUCACUCUGACCGCUAGACGUUGUUAUGAUCUUUAACGGGAUCGCCAAGAUCGAUGUCGAGCGUGUCUGUAGGAUCAAGACUUCAAGAGAAUCGGAAGGAAGGUGAUCCCCACGCAGGUGGUAGCCCAAAGCUCCAAACAGAUGAUGGUUGGUUGCGAUGAUUCUCAGACAAGCGGACGGCACCGUGAGCACCAUCCUGGGUUCCCGCAGAUCCGUGUGGCGUUCAGUUGUGCGCAGACAGAAGAAAGAAGAUAUCGGUCUAAGUGAAUAUCCACUAAAAUAACUAAGAUGCCUCUAAUUACCUUAGACGGUUGAAAAAAAUUCUACGCGGAGAAACCAGUAGGAACUAUAAAACUUUGGGCGCGGCGUUGCCGCGCCAGCUCAAGGUAGCCUUCUGAUUUUUGAACUUGUUGUAAUGCCACUGAGAAUAUACUCCCUCCAUCCCAAAUUAUAGACAUUCCAAGAGUAGAGCCAAAGAAUCUCAAGUUUGACCAAAAUUAUAUUCAUAAGAUAAUAACAUUUAUUAUAUUAACUAAGUAUCAUUAAAUUCUCUAUUAAUUAUAUUUUCAUAGUAUAUCUAUUUGAAGUCAUAAAUUUUUAUAUUUUUUCUAUAAUUUUGAUCAAACUUGAGAUUCUAAGAUUCUUGAAAUAUCUUAUUAUAAUUUGGAAUGGAGGGAGUAUAUUCCAACAAUGUAAAUCGUUAAAUGGCACUUAUCCAAUGGCAACAUGAAGUAGUAGCGUGCCUUCAAUAAUCAAUAAGAUAAGAUAAAUUCUAUGUAAAUCCCUUUGUCAAAAAAAAUCUAUGUAAAUUAGAAUAUAUUCAAACGAACAGAGCAUUCAGGUGUUUCAUUUAUGGCAACUUGGCAAGGAUGCUGAUGACGAUAUGGUUUUGAUAAGUACAUGUAUUUAACUGAACAAAAGAAAAUCGAAUUAUGGAGUCAAAACCACUUCAAAGUUGAGAACAUGAUUUCCUCUGGGUGGAAGUAGUUACAGUGAGAAAAGAAAAAGAGAACGACGGGUAUAUGCAAUUGGCAAGCAUUGGCAUUACAUCGAUGUGUGUUAUAUUUAUCAAUUAGAUAAAGGAACGAAUUUGAUUAUAUAAGCUAUAUCAGGCUGCACAGGAAGCAAAUUAUGUCAUGUUUGUAGUAUCUGAUUAUAUGAUGGGUAUAUAUAUUAUUUUUGUAUUUGUAUAACUAUAUGAACUGGAUUAAACAUAAUUAUGAGUAUUUCUGUUCUUCUCAAGGUCUAAGAAUCAUAUGCGAUGACUGAAUAUUACUUAUCCAGUUUGGUUUGUCGAAUCAUAUGUACAUUCAAGCUUCUUUGUAAGUGGUAUGGAGAUAUAAGGUCAAAGAAAACAAUAGUAAUAGUACUAGGAGCAAAAGCAAAAUCAUAAUAUCAAGCAGAGGAGAAUGUUAUACAAAGGUACAAUCCGAGCUAGUUCUUGUUGGGCAAUUAUCAUACUUCGUGAGAUUAUGUAGAAAAACAUAUGUAAUACUGAUGCAUAAUUAUCAUACUCCCUCUAUCCUAAAUUGUAAGUCAUUCUAAGAAUCUUGAGGGUCAAAGCAUCUCAAAUUUGACCAAAAUUAUAAAAAAAAUCAUAAAGUUUUAUGGCAUCAAAUAGAUAUACUAUAAAAAUAUAAUUAAUGAGAACUUGAUAAUACUUAAUUGAUAUCAUAAAUGUUAUUAUCCUAUCAUAUAAAUUUAGUCAAACUUAAGAUGUUUUGAUUCUCCAAAAUUUUUGGAAUGACUUAUAAUUUAGGAUGGAGGGAGUACAUUCUAAGAUUUACAUGUUUUGUGAGCUUGCAAGUUAUGUGUGAGUGAUGAGUUUGCUGAAAUUUUUCGAUAUUCGGUCAUGCAGAUUGAAAAAUGAUUUUAGUAUCACUGAGCACGUCUUUUUGCAAUCCCUGCGGGAGUUGGGGACAGGAAACAGACCUGGGCCUUGGUCUAAGGGGGCGUCGCUGCUGCUCGUGGCUCAGGGCUGGCCUAAUGCGGUAGACAUCAGCAGCAACUGGCAGCUAUGGAGGUUGGCGUCGGGUUGGAACGUGAGGAAAUAGCAAGGGCGGCCUUGUUGGCCAGGCGGCGCCAGAGAGAUGUCGCCGGUGAGCUCGCCCUGCCUCGGUGACGGACCAUGCGCGCCUUGCCGGUCACCUGCGAUCCCGCCCUAUCCAUCGACGCCGAGCGAGCAGGCAGGCGUCGCGUAAGACGCCGAGCGAGCGGAUGGGCCAAGGCGCCGAGAAGAUUCGUGAGGUUAUGAGAGCGUGAUGAAACGGGUGAAGACCCAACCCGAUCCAGCAUCCAACGGAUGCUGUCGCAAGUUCAUUGGAUCGAACGGCCACAAGAUUAACGGGCGACGUGGCACGAUCUGGUAGCUGGGUUUUUGGGGCAGAUUUCGUAUAGUAAGAGAUUCCUUCAUUCCGAGCACAAUAACAAACCUCCAGUUAUAUCAUGUGAGGAUGUCUGUUCACUGAAAUUACAAUGUUUGGCUUUUAAAUCCAUGCAUGCCCUCUCUCUACUCAACAUGUGCGCACAUACAAGCACACCACGUUCAGCCUGCCACGGAUUCAUGAUAAGUUGAACACCUUUGGUUUCCUUAUUCAUGUUGGCCUCGCCUAGAAAUAGCCUGCUAUAGCUGCCGCUAUGGUUGUUUUGUACAAUGUAUCGCUAUUUAUACUCAUUUUGAAUUUAGCUCUUUUAGCCUCGCUAUAUAACCAGGUUUUAGCCAUAGAGAACACCGCUGCUAUAAAUGCCUAUAGAAAGAGAGUCAAAUUGGCUUAUCGAAGCAAAUGAGAAUUAGUUUCACUCGUCGUCAGGUAGCAAAACAUCAAACACCUUAUAUUGUUCCAAUUUUUUGUCUGUCUAAUAAGGCUAGGCAAGAUCCAGAAGGUCACCUUGGUAUUUCCGCGGAGCUUCACAGGAAACAAAUCUCCAGGUGUAAUCUGCUUUCUGCAGGCAGUUGGCUCAUGGGUCAUGACGAGUGUCUCUUUGUUGGCGUGGAUCGGUUUUAAAAGCAUGAUAAACAUAAUCUUGUUUGGAUAACACCGGUGUCAAGUAUGUACAGAGUCUGAACGAGCAUAAAGAUGCGUAAUUUUAAUACCACGAUCGAUGUAAACGCACGAGUCAACGAUCGGUCUCACUCCGAUAAAGUUUGUUUAGAAGUAAUCCAUUCUAAAUGCAUCUAGUGGUACAUGUGUACUUGCACAUGAUAAAACAUAUAGAAAGAUGCUGGUGCGUGCGUCGUCUUCAGAGGUGGUCUCAGACGUUUCGUUUAGGCCAUGUAUACUUAUAGCGAAAUUUUUUAAGUUCGACUACUUUUUUGUUUGUGGUAUUUGGCAAUUAUUAUUCAACUAUAAAUUAACUAAGCUUAAAAGAUUCGUCUCGCAAAUUAUAGAUAAAAUAUAUAAUUAGUUAUUUUAUUUAUAUAUAAUUAAUACUUUAUUUAUACAUUUAAAAUUUUAAUAUGACGAAAAAUCUUAAAAAAUUUUAGAAACUAAAUAAGGCGUUACUUGUCAAGCCAUUCUUUUGUGACGAAAGACCUGCCACUUGCUAUAGUCUUUGUCCACCGUGGACCUUUUUCUGAGCCUCCUUGCCGUCACCAACCCUGACGUCAGCACCUUCAGCAAAUACUGACUGGUUCUCUGAAAGUCUGAAGAGGGUGACAAAGGAAAACAACUCCUAGACGGCUUCAGUUUGUGCAGACUGACGAUUAUAUGUUGAACUGCUGUACAUUUUAGCUUGGGCCUUGUUUAGUUCCCAAAAUAUUUUAUAAAAUUUUUUAUAUUCUUCGUCACAUCAAAUCUUGCAACACAUACAUAAAGUACUAAAUAUAUAUAAAAAAUAACUAAUUAAAUAGUUUACUUAUAAUUUUCGAGAUGAAUUUUUUAAGCCUAGUUAGUCUAUGAUUGAACAAUAUUUGUUAAAUACAAACGAAAGUGCUACAGUUUCUAUUUUACAAAAAUUUUUGGAAGUAAACAAAGCCUUGGUCAUAUGUUGCCUGGUGGAGUAUACAUUGAUGCAAAAGGCUAGAACACUACCUAAAAAGAGUAGUUUAUAUAUUGCCUAAUGACAUAUGCUCUGUGCAAGGAUAGAAAUGGUUUGCGCACAGAGUGAGAAAGGGGGGCAAUAAUGGAUCAAUUAUGUUUCUUUAGCAAACCGGUCCAGUCAUCAAAUCUUCAGGAUUUACCUCCAGUCAAGAUUCAUCCCAUCAUAGUCUAACUAGACUAAAAAGAUUCAUUUAGCAGAUUACAGGUAAUCUGUGUAAUUAGUUAUUUUUUAAUCUAUAUUUAAUAUUCUAUGUAUGUGCCGUAAAAUUCGAUAUGACGGAGUAUCUAAAAAAUUUGUAAAAUUUUUUGUAACUAAACAAGGCCCAAGUUCCUUUAGCUAACGUGCCAGAAUAUCGUUGAAAAUCCGGGGUACAGAUGGUGACUGUCUGCGAAUACAAUUAGUGGCCGAUUGUCUGGUUCUGAAAACCGAUACUGAUCAAGCCAAAAUAGAACAAUUUGAAUUUGCGAAGGCUGGUAUAAUAGAUGGGCAUAUUUGGCUGUUUCUAGUAAUAACAUUUUGUUGCUGAAAAGUUGAAGCUUUUCCUUUCACACAUGAGUACUGCGCUUGUCCAAAUCCUCAACCAUUAAGCCCGAAGGGACCCAUAUCAAAAACGCAGAAAAUGUUCCAUUUCCUGAAGAAUUUGAACUGCGGUAUUAUGCAUUUGACGGAAAUUGAAAGAAUGGAAUACUCAAUAUAUUUCUCAGAGAUGCACAGUGCUUACAUAUACGCUAGGUGGGGAGCCAAGAUAGGUAGGCUCACUAACCAAAUUACAUCCAACACUCCUCCGCAGUUGGAACUAGGAGCAAAGCGAACAUUAAGACUUAGACAAGUAAGCUUUGCCAAUUUCCUUUUUUUUUCCUCCUUUUGUUGCUUUUUCAUAUAUAUAUUUCAUUCAUUCGCACACCGGUACAAGUACAAUCAUAGAGCUGAAUGGCAACUGUAUACCAAUCCGUCAAAACGGCUUGUAUGCUAUCACGAACAGCUUCGCUGGUGACCAGUCACCACCACUACCAGUGCGGGUGGUACUGGUAGUAAUUGGGGUAGCACCAGCCGUACGGCAGCGGCACGACCUCGGGCUUCUUCUCCUCCGGUUUCUUCUCCUCGGGCUUCACCACCUCCACCUUGACGAUGUCGGCGCGGCCGAUCUUCUUGCGCAGGCAGUUGACGAGGCAGACGGUGUCGAUGCCGUCGCCCUCCACCUCCAGCUGGUCCUUUCCGUCGCCGGUGAUCCCCAUCUUGCUCACCCCGUCUGCUUUGGCCGCCAGCACCAUGGCCUUGGACCGGCACUUGUCGCUCGCCACGCUCAGCCUGAUCACGAUCUUUUGCUGCAUGCAGCAACGAGAGCACGAGAUUGAUGAGUCGGGUGCAUACAUGAUGGGGGGCACGAACAGCGAAUUCGAGGAGCUGAAAGAUUGUUCAGACGGCUAGUAGCUAGCUGUUCUUUCAGACAGUUAAUUACCUUCAUCGCGGCUGCUGCUGAUCUACGCGCCGCCGCUGAGGAUUACGAUCAGAUGUAGGGAACGACGACAAGUCGUCUGAGCAGGAAAGGCUGAACGGACGGGAUGGCCGCCGCGACGAAUGGCGAUGGACCGAUGCUCUGCAGUGUGCACUCUGCAGGAGCAAUUCGGCAGCUGCCUUGUGAAUUUGUGAUGGAGCAACUGGCUGCAACAGGUGCGCGCGCGGCAUUUUUAUAGACGAGGCGGGCGGGUGGCAAUCCGGGAACAGGUGAAGGCGGACGAUCCUUCGUCGGAACGAUGAUCUUUGACUCCCUCCAAAGUCCCAAAGAAUUGCAAGGACACGUAUACUACACGACGACGACGACGACGACGACUGACUGACUUAGGAGCGUUACUGUACGCGUGCUAUGUUGUAGUCAUCAGUCAUCGCAUCAUCAACUACCGAGCUAGCGAGUCAGAGACGGGUCCGUUCGGUCCUCAUCGAAAGGGACGGCGUGUUCCUGGAGAAAGAAAGAAAAAUAUAUAUAUACUACAGUAGUAUUAGUAUACAAUGACUUGACUUGACGGCAGUUGGUGCUGGGUGACGCGCUCGCAGCUGGCCUCUUCUCUGCCCGGAGCCCUUCCAAAGCCGCGGCAACGCAGAUUUUUCAAAGGAAGUACAGGUAGCGUUUGGUAUCGUUGGCAAUCAGGGUGGUACGGUGCGAAUGUGAACACGCAGAGUCAACGAGCAGUCUUUCCCCGCUCAAAAAAUACACUCAUGAGUACUACUUGAACAAGAUAGUGGGCCGACACACAGUGGGCAAUGAUCUGUUAGGUGGUGUUUGGUUGAGUUGUUAAACUUUAAUAGGUAUUAUAAUAUUUUUGUUUUAUUUGAUAACUAAUGUCCAAUCAUAGACUAGGCUUAAAAGAUUUGUCUCACAAAUUACUCUCUAGUUAUGUUUUUAGUUUUAUAAAUAGUUUAUAUUUAGUCAUGCAUGUGUCUAGACAUUUGAUACGACGGACGGUAAACUUUAUCGCCCAUAACCUCCAUACCUAUAAAAAAGUUCAUUUUGAACAAGAUUUGAGUCAAAUAUUAGAAAUAUAAAUUAUGAAUAACUUUUAAGUUGUUGAUUUUUUUUUUGCGAGCAAGUUGUUGAGUUUGAAAAUGUGAAAAUCAUAUGAAUAGAUUUGUCUUAAAAAAUACUUUCAUAAAAAUAUACAUAUACCAUUUUUUGAUAAAUAUUUUUAUAAAAAUAAGAAGUCAAAGUUAGGUUUUAGAGACCGUGUAGAUAUAAAAGGAGCACGUGCCAAAAUAAGAGAUAUUGGACAGACAUUGUGUCGCUCAAAUGCCUGAAUGAGCUCGUCCAUCACUCCUAGGUGGUCCUCUUCCAUGGUCUCUCAACCCCACCUUUGCUUUCACUCCUAAAUACGUCGAGGGGGCUGCUAGGGUCUACCGGUUCAGACUGAAGCUGUGCGCCGGCACUAGUGCUCUUCUUCUCUCCUACCUUACACGUGCCGUCCCCACCAUCCUUCAUUGUGCCUGUGGUGACCUAGCUCCUUCUUUCUCUCACCGCCCCCACUCCCACCAUCGCUGCCAUGGCCAUGCUCUCCAGUGAGCCACCGGAAGCCUCCUGCCCUGACUUGGCUCGGCCGUCACCGCCGUCGCCAGGCCACAAUCAUUACCACCUGGCUUCCCUGCCUCACUUGAGCCUCUUCCUUCUAAGCCCGCCAUAGAUGGAGACGAGGGAGGGAGAGAGCUGUCGGAGAUGUUGACAAAGGAGGAGCAGUGGUGCAGUGGGCCGCCCGCGUCGGUGCUGCGAGGAAGAAAAAUAGCGCGCCCUCACCUCCAUUCUGACGGAGACUUGACUCUAAAUGUUUGGACAUGAUGAUUUCCGCAUCAAUAUGUAUACGUCCGCACUUCAAUUUCAUAUGUCUGUUGCCUCAUCUUUCUCACUUUCACUCGUGUCGUCUCUCAUCACCUCUUGCACAUGACCAACACCUGAACACCAACACACCUAGCCGCACCAAAUAACAUGUUAUCGUUGCCAAGCAUCGUCGCGCCCAACAAGAAGCAGCGCUGACUUUGCCUCUACAAGCACAAACCAUGAAUGUUGACCAUCCACCAAAAGCAAGAAGUGGCCCAUGGAUGCAAAGGCCUCGUCAUUGGGCACAAACACAAGAGGUGAAGACCCACCAUAGAUCAUCGUCAAAGCUCUUCGCAAGAGCAAAGAGCCGCUCUAACUUCCAACGACACGACCACAACCUCACCAGACCAAGCGCUAGCUCGGCUUGCCCACGUCGUGCAUUAGUUGCACACGACGCGCGCUCGCUAUGCUCACUAGCGCCUCACUUGUCUCCCGCAUAGGGGUUUUUCAGUAGAGGUUGCAGUGUUGUAAUUGAUCCAACUAUGUUUCAGCAAGGACAUAUUUCCAUAGCAAUCACUCAUCAUACAUAAUGACAAGGACACAUCUCAACCUUGCCAUCUCAGAUAUCAUAAAUAUUUUAUUUGAGUGAAUUUCACUAGCAGUCCCCUGUGCAUGUUAGGGAGUGCUCAUAAAUUUUGCUCUUUUUUGUUUUAAAUUUUGUCAAAUUUGGAAUAAUUUGACUUAGGGUAACUCAAAAUUUCUUAUAUUACAGGAUAGAUGGAGUAGAUAGUAGCUUGUAGACAUAUGUGUAAUAAUUUGACUUUUUUUAACUCCAAGUUUGACCACUUCUCUUAUUAAAAAAUUUUUGUGCAAAUAUAGUCAAAUUUAAAUCAUUUUGGAAGAACUUUUACUAAUAAACCAAGCCACGACAAAGAAAAUGGUAUUUUACAUAACUUUUUGAAUAAGACAAGUGGUUAACUUGCACUAGUACAGACGCAUACUGUACAGGCGGCUGAAAACCCAUUUCUACUGGCGUUUUUCAGCACCGCCUGCGCUGGAGGCCAGUAGAAAUGAGACAUUUCUACAGGCGGUAACUAAGAACCGCCUAUGGAAAUGCAUUUCUACAGGCGGUUCAGUUAUGCCAAUCGCCUGUAGAAAUCUUUUUCUAGAAAAUAGGAAAUCGGUUUUUAAAAAUAGGAAAAAAAAAAUUUUAAUACAGGGAAGGCCUAUCGGCUACGCGCAGCUCGUCGUCGAGCACGCCCACGGACCCGAACGACGAGUUGGAGCCCCGCGGGGACGCCACCACGGUGAUCGCGGUCGCGUUGGCGCCCUUGAACGUCUCGUGGAGGUAGAGGUGGAUGUGCGUCACUGCGUCAGGCCGCCGUCGUCUUCGCCGCCGGAUGCAAGAACGGUGGUGGUCACUAGUACAUAGAAGCACUAUACAGGCGGUUUGGAGAACCACCUGCGCUGGGUGCCUGUGGAAAUCAAGAGUUUCCACAGACCGCCUGUGGAAAUGUAUUUCUAAAGGCGGUCGCCUGUAGAAAUAUUUUUCCAUAAAAAUAGGAAAAAAAACAUUUUAUUUCAGGAAAGGCUCACUGGUUAUUCGUGCUUUUUUUCGCGUAAAAUCGCGUGCUUCGUGGCCGGUGGGAUUCGAACCUGAGACCUUGCCCUUAAUCGUAGCCUCCUCUACCACUUCACCUAUCACUCGCUUGUGUCUAUAUUAGAGUUUAGUUCCCUACAUAUUAUCACAAACCGAGCAUAUAUUGAUUAUUUGAGGCCCUAAACGGAUUCCAAUGGAAAAGUUGUCAACUACAAAGUUUCAUAACUUUUUAAGAUCUACAACUUUUAUAUUGGAAGUUUUUCCAUCCGAGGUCAUUUACAAAAUUUGAAUUUCAAAUUUAAGAAAUUCAAACGUAGUUUUCGACGACAAGAUGAUGUCAAAUGAAAAAAUUAUCAACUACAAAGUUUCAUAACUUUUCGAGAUCUACAACUUUUAUUUUGACAGUUUUUUCAAACAAGAUCAUUUGAAAAACUCAAAAAAAUUAAAUUUCAAAUUAUUUCUACAGGCGGCUUUCUUAACAAACCGCCUGUAGAAAUAUGAUUUUUACGGGCGGUUUCUUAGGAGAACCGCCUGUAGAAAUACAUGAUUUCUACAGGCGGUUUUGUUAGGAAAACCGUCUGUGAAAAUGCAUCUUCACAGGCGGUUCGUAAUUCUGACAUCGCUCUUUUUACACUACAGGCGCGUGAUAACUACAACCGCCUGUAGUAUAAAAAAAAGACGUCGGCGUUGUACUCUUUUCUACUAGUGUUGAUAUAAAAAAAGUCAAACGCCUUAUAAUUAAAAAUGAAUUGAGUACUUAAGAAUUCAAAUGAGCAUCAUUAAUAUCUUAUAUGAAAUAUGCUUUCAUAGUUUACAUCUGGAUGUGGUUCUGGUUUGCUUUCAUUUCUGCCAACUGCCAGUGAUGGUUUGUGCACAUGCGCCCAGCACGAUUCACGGAGAGGUCAGAAGUUCAGAACCAAAAUCACAAACAUAUUAAGCAUAUACACGCCGGGCAAAAUCCAUCUUAAGUACGCAGCUCCAGUUCACAUGAUGUGGCAGCCUGCUGCUGGCUGUUCCUCGCAUACAAACGUCGCCGGCGGCCCGGGGUAACUAUAAUAACCACCGUUGUACGGCGGCGGCGGGCACGCCGCCCAGAGCUUCUUGAACUCUUCUUCCGCCUUCUUCCUUGCUUCCUCCGCCUUCUUCUUAUCUUCCUCCGCCUUCUUCUUCUUGGCUUCUUCCUCCUUCUUCUUCUUCUCCUCCUCCUCCUUCUUCUUGUCCUUCACUUCCUCCACCACGACGAUGUCGGCGCGGCAGACCUUCUUGCGCAGGUGAUUGAUCAGACAGGUGAUGUCGACGCUUUCUCCUACCACCUCCAGCUGGUCCUUGGCUUCGCCGGCGAUGGCCACCGAGUUCACUCCUGCAUAUACAUCGAGGCGAGAGGUGGUAAGUACUACUGAUGAACAAGAUGAGUGUAUACUGUUGUUCAUGGAUAUGUGGACAGAUCGAUCCCGCACACCGCAGUGCGCACACGACGAUCACCAAGACAAUAGCAAGCUAGAGUGUGAUGGAUGUGUACCGAC